rnacentral:rRNA from 1 species
AAUAGAUACCCAGGUAGUCCACCCCGUAAACGUUGGGAACUAGUUGUGGGGUCCAUUCCACGGAUUCCGUGACGCAGCUAACGCAUUAAGUUCCCCGCCUGGGGAGUACGGCCGCAAGGCUAAAACUCAAAGGAAUUGACGGGGACCCGCACAAGCGGCGGAGCAUGCGGAUUAAUUCGAUGCAACGCGAAGAACCUUACCAAGGCUUGACAUACACGAGAACACCCUGGAAACAGGGGACUCUUUGGACACUCGUGAACAGGUGGUGCAUGGUUGUCGUCAGCUCGUGUCGUGAGAUGUUGGGUUAAGUCCCGCAACGAGCGCAACCCUCGUUCUAUGUUGCCAGCACGUAAUGGUGGGAACUCAUGGGAUACUGCCGGGGUCAACUCGGAGGAAGGUGGGGAUGACGUCAAAUCAUCAUGCCCCUUAUGUCUUGGGCUUCACGCAUGCUACAAUGGCCGGUACAAAGGGCUGCAAUACCGUGAGGUGGAGCGAAUCCCAAAAAGCCGGUCCCAGUUCGGAUUGAGGUCUGCAACUCGACCUC